GGGGGGGGCAAGCGUUGUUCGGAACUACUGGGCGUAAAGGGCGCGCAGGCGGCCUGGCAAGUCCUACGUGAAAUCCCACAGCUUAACUGUGGAACUGCGUGGGAUACUGCCAGGCUUGAGUCCGGGAGAGGAGAGUGGAAUUCCCAGUGUAGCGGUGAAAUGCGUAGAUAUUGGGAGGAACACCGGUGGCGAAGGCGGCUCUCUGGACCGAUACUGACGCUGAGGCGCGAAAGCUAGGGGAGCAAACGGGGGAUUAGAUACCCCGGUAGUCCUAGCCGUAAACUUUGAGCACUUUGUGUGGCGGGUAUCGACCCCUGCCGUGCAGAAGCUAACGCAUUAAGUGCUCCGCCUGGGGAUACGGUCGCAAGGCUG
rnacentral:rRNA from 1 species